UAUACAAUAGAUAUAUAUAUAUAAAUAUAAAUAUAAUGGAUUCUAAUAUUCUAUUUAGGCCGCUGCUAUCUUUUACGAAGGGCAAGCACAAUAAGGACGAUCUGCAUUCCCUGCAUAAUCUACUGCGUCCUUUCGGUCAACCAAAACUCAACUCUUACGCGAGUUAGAGGUAUCCAUUCAGUGUUCCUUUCAUCUUUACUUAUUUUAUUUAAUCUUUGCAUUUCGGCUUUGAAUGACAACCGCAUGUAAUCUCUACCUAAUACAACGAUGCUAUUUCUCUUUUCAACGCUAUAACACUUAUUUCUCUAGCUCUUAUGAUAAAAAUACGUAUCCUAAUCUAUCCUAACCUAAUAACCUAAUCUAUCUUAUUCUACUGUUCUGUCUCUUUCAUGAUGAGGAUAUUUUGAGGUUCCUUAGAGAUACUUUGUUUCUUAUAGCGCGCGUUUGACAGAGAGAUGGUGGAAAAUAUGAUGUUUAGAAAAAGUACAACCUAAAUGAGAUGAGUGGAAUAUAAUGGAAGAAAGUCCAAGGAAAAAGGAAACGAAGGUAAUCGAACGACUGUAAUCGAAGAAGGCAUGUAUCGAGAUUCGAGAUUCGAUAAUCGAACACAGUGGCUGGGAGACGGUCAUAAAAGAAAAAAGAAAGUAUCGUGUUUGCGUACUCAUGAAAAAAAAAUGAUUUGGGUCAAAUUCAUUUUCGAGGUUCCCUUUCUCCGUUCGAGGACGGGGCUUCCCUGCAGGAAGUGGAAAGACUUUCAGUUUCGUAAUGUGGAGAUACGCGCGGUACUUCGUCUUUUCUCCUGCGAACCGAUGUGACCAGAGCCAUCAUUGCCUUUUUAUAUUUCGUGGAUCAUCAAACAAAAACGUGGUGUUCAUUAUAACUCGUAGUAAGCAGCGAAGAAACCAUCGUUUUAAUUCUCAGCCGAUAUCGUUGGAUCCUAAGGAGCUCACGUUCGGACAAAUGAAUUCAACCAGCAACAGAAUAAACGCAGUUCGGAUAAAGACUCCUUUUGUACAGAGAGAUAGUGCUGUGUUUCAAUAUUAAUGCGAGUAACUGUCCAUAUCAAAACAAUGUCGAACUAUGUCAAACGACGUCAAGCGACAUGAAACAUCAUCAUGAACAUGAUGAAGACAUCAUCAUCAUGAAGACACGUGAAGGGAACUGAAGCGUGAGAAUGUCCUCGCAUGAGAACCGCUGGCAAUGAGGAAUCGCUAGGAAGAGCGGACGAUUUUAAUCGCUGGCUUCAGGAUGGGACAUCGCAAACAGACAUCAUGAAGAGUAACAACGACCGAGCACGUAACCAACCGCGUAAGUCUGGUGAAUGGGAAAAGGAGAAGCCCGUUGUGUAUAUGCCUGUAUGUAUUGGUGUAAGCACGUGUCGUUGCGUUAUAUACGUGUGGACCAGUCAACGCCGGACGUCCCACUAAGAGUACGAAACGCUCGAAGGUAGAAAGGUUCGUAGAUUCUUUCGUCCCGAUCGAAAUGCGGAACGUCCAUGGGAACAUGGAGUAGAAUCCCAAAGCGAGUAAAAAGCGACAGUGCAUUAGAAAGGGAAUUUUCAGCAAAUCGAAAUUUAGCCGGGCAUCAAGCGAUGCGUGGAAACUGUUUCUUUUGUCAUUCGUUAUUUUUUUUUUCUUUCAUAGCCAUUAUAUUUUUUAAUAUACCGUAUAUUAUAUAUUUGUGAUUUUUGGGGUUUCAAUCGUAUUAUUAGUACAUCGCGUUUGUUCUGAGAUUUCGUGAAUAUUCUAGUUCACGUUUUCAGGGCAGAUAGAAAAUGAUUCGUGGGGAAUUGAAAUUAAAAUUUGAAAUAGAAAUUUUGGUUUAUAGAAUCGUAUUCUGAAUAGUGUGUUUCGUACCCUGUACUGUUUUUCAUACAGUUAGGUACUAAGUAAUGAGAUCGAUACGAAGAGAAAGCUUUUUUGUCUCGUGAACGAUUUAGGUUGAAAUGGCAGUAAGCAUUUUGAUUUUAAAAGGUAAGAGUUUUGAACAGUGUGAUUUAUGGUGAAGUAUACGUUAAGUAAUAGGAUUACUGCGAAAUAGAAUCUCUCUUUCUCAUAAAAUGAAUCUCUUCUUUCUUGUUCUUUUAUAAUACAUAAAGUUGGAAGUACACCGUGACAAAUGGUAGAAAUUGAAACACAUAUCCCUCUCUCCAAUAUAAUCACUCUUUUUUCAUUAUCACUACUUUAUUUCCUACGUAAUAUGAAAUGGCAAAACCAUAAAACGACAAAUGGAUUUGAAAAUUAAAAGAGAAAAGUAUAAGGAAAGAAGAAAGAGUUUAAUAAUUGGUGAUUGUUUUAUGGCUCGAUGGAUUUGAGAGUGAAACUUUUUCAAAGAUGAACCAUGAAUAAGUGCAACUACGAAGAAUGCAUGUGAAACGGUCAUGGGAACAUGGAGUAGAAUCUUAAAGACAAUGAAAAGCGACAGUGUGUUAGAAAGAUCUGUAUGUGAAACGGAGUCAUGGGAAAACAGGGCAGAAUCUCAGAGAGUUAGAGCCGCCUUACAAAAGAGAGACAUUGCAAGCGCGUUGGAAAGGAAGUUUUGUGGAAUGAGGCUUGUCAGCGACGUUUUGCGGGCCAAAUGGUAUUCUCUUAUACGGUAAACAUUCCAGGAAAAGUCCAAGGCAGUAAAGGGAUUUUUCUGCUAUUUAGAAGCUAUUAUAAAGGAAAUUAAAGGUGUUUAGAAUGAUGGAUGGCAGUUCGAAUACCUUAUUGUAUAGAAUUGGCUGAAAGAAUGGCGUGACAAAAACGGACAAAGUUUAAACACCCUUGGACACAGGAGAAAGGCAAAUACUCUAAAAAUAGGACCAAUUACUUCAGUAUAAAAUGCUAAAUUCUUUUAAAUUUUACCAUUAUAACUUAAGAAACUCAAAUACAUUAACUACAGGUC